CCCCUUCUGGCCUUUCAUGUCGUCCGCCUACCUCCAAUAAUUUUUUUCUUGUUAUCUCUGUUUAUGCUCUUCGUCUUGUAAAAUUUCUCUGAAAUAUUUCGUCUUCGAAGCAUCUAAUUGUGAUUCUCUUUGGUCUUCAGCAAUGACCUAGAGGAUACGAAACGAUGCAAAAUUGACUCACAGGCACUUAUGGACGAGCAGAUUCAUUUUCACCAUGGAUUCUUGCUUUUUCUCAGUGUUGUUGCUCGAUGAUGAUUGAUUUUGCUUUAACCACACCGAACAGAGACGCGAGGAUUGGAUCUGGUUCCUUUCUUGUUUAGGUCAAGGAAUUUGUCUGUGGAUUAACUUGAUACGCUUGGUGUUGGGCUUGACGAUUCUUUCUCUCGUAGAUAGAUGAAAGCUUCGCUAAGCACUUCACGUUCAGUGCAUUUUCUUUGGCUUAAACGAGGGAGUACAACCUCCUGCUUUGUGUUCUCUCAUGUGGAAAUCUUUGGCCUUUCAACUGAGAGCAA